ACAUAUAAAGCAAUUUGCAUUUAGUUUCGACCUAAAAGUUUGAUUAAAUUUUUAAUCUAUAUGUA
rnacentral:tRNA from 1 species